rnacentral:SRP_RNA from 1 species
CGUGCUAGACGGGGCGGUAGCGGUGCCCUGUAACUCGCAAUCCGCUAUAGCGGGGUUGAAUUCCUUAGCUGAGAGAUAUCGCUUCAGACUCUAUGCUGCCAGUGAGCGGUGAUGAUGGUCAGGUCCUGCGCAACGGAUCCUUGCUGAACCCCGUCAGGACCGGAAGGUAGCAGCGGUAAGCGAUCAGGCCCGUGUGCCGCAGGGUCACCUGGCAGGAGCAAGCGUUGGCUGUGUGGACCUGAAGUCUGUCUCGAGGCAAGGUGCACG